rnacentral:rRNA from 1 species
CAAUAGCGUAUACUAACGUUGUUGCAGUUAAAAAGCUCGUAGUUGGAUUUCUGAAGGUGGUUGGAUUGGUGUGACCUCGCGUUGCCUCAACCAUACUAUUUUCAACAUAUGCGAUGAAUUGGUGUGGUUAAUUAAGUUUGAUCCGCCAUUAAAUCGCUCGUUUACUUUGAGAAAAUUAGAGUGUUCAAAGCAGGCAUAACGCCUUGAAUAUGUUCGCAUGGAAUAAUAGCAUAGGACUUUGGUUCUAUUUGUUGGUUGUUCGAGAACUGGAGUAAUGAUUGAUAGGGACGGUUGGGGGCAUCCGUAUUCUCAAGCGAGAGGUGAAAUUCUUGGACCUUGGGAAGACGAACAGCUGCGAAAGCGUUUGCCUAGGACGUUCUCUUUAA